CACAGUGUGGCAUAGUGGUUUAAGUGCUGGACUACAAUUCUGGAAAUCAGGGUUCGAUUCCCAGCUUGGCUA
rnacentral:tRNA from 1 species